AUUUAUAUACUAUUUACAGAUAGACAGAUAUUUAUUACUUAUAUAUUGUUAUUUACAGAUAAACACUGACGGCGUGGCGCAGUGGGAGAGUGGCCGUGCGCAACCCGAGGGUCACUGGUUCAAAUCCCACCUAGAACCAACCUCGUCACGUCCGUUGUGUCCUGAGCAAGACACUUCACCCUUGCUCCUGAUGGGUGCUGGUUGGCGCCUUGCAUGGCAGCUCCCUCCAUCAGUGUGUGAAUGUGUUUGUGAAUGGGUAAAUGUGGAAGUAGUGUCAAAGCGCUUUGAGUACUUUGAAGGUAGAAAAGCGCUAUACAAGUACAACCCAUUUAUCAUUUAUUUAUUUAUAUAUUGUUAUUUACAGAUAAACACUGAUAUUUAUAAUUUUAUAUAUUGUCAUUUACAGAUAAACACUGACUUUUAUUAUUUUUAUAUUGUUAUUUACAGAUAGACAUGCAAUUGUUAUUUAUAAAUAGUUAUUUGCAGAUAAACACUGACAGUUAUUAUUUACAUAUUGUUAUUUACAGAUAAACACUGAAAUGUAUUAUUUAUAUAUUGUUAUUUAGAGAUAAACACUGACAUUUAUCAUUGAUAUAUUGUUUACAGCUGAAGUGGACUAAAAGGAGUCACAUGACUCUCAUAAAGUCAUCGUCUACCGAGAGGACAAUAUUUCCGAGUGUUGGACACUGCAGACAAAAGCCUAACUUUUGAUGAACAAUUUGGUCCACCUUGUUUUUUAAAUCAAAUUGUUUUAUACAUGAUUUAUUCCUAUUUCUAUGACUUACUUUUGACUAGAGGAAGUGUGACUAAAUACUGUGCUUCUUCACACGGUAUCAAUGUAGGUGAAAUAUACUAAAUCACUCCUCCACACGUCAUCAGCCUGAUUUGUAGAAACUACCAGAAUGGCGAAAUGCGGUGGAAACACAAACCACACACUUCUACAGGAACCAAAAGUUCCUGAACAUGUGUUGGAGAAGGGCCUUUUCCGUAACAACCUGCUGGUGGUAAUGUUUGAUGUACCUGUGGUUUAUUUUCCCAUGACCCCAAACACACCAUCGAUGCCUAAAAGCAGACUGGCGGAGAACGAGCAAGUGUUGUUCUGGCUUUGGGGAAGCACGGAGACAAAAGUGUGUGCACGGGAGGUAAAACAUUUUGGAAUUGAGACGUUUGUUUUCAUAAGAUUGGCAAUAAAAAAUCCAAAUAGCACCACACUUUAUGUGAAUUCUUCUGGAGGCUACAAUACAGUAUAUUUACUUUGUUUUCACGUAAAAAUAACCUUAUUUUUAGGUGUGGCUUAAUGUUACACCAAGCGGAAACCCUCUCUCCACACGGUUUGAUUUCAAUUUUUCGGGACUUAUGCAGAUCCUAAAUACACAACAGCAGAUAAUAGGUAAGAUAAAUAAAUAUUUUUUGCAAAAUAGGGCUCCAUUAAAGCUGGUGCAGAGAAAGAUAAAGUUGCUGGAUGCAGAUAACCCAUAAUAUUUCAAUUUGGCGUUAAUUAAAAAACAUAAAAAGUUGCAUACAACCACAGCAAUUUAGGUUUUUAACCUGCUGGUUAAUUGCUUUUGUACACCAAACACCCGAUGACUAUGGAAAAGUCACAGGCUAAUUGAAAGGGUGAUUAAUUGGAGCACUUUGACUUCCAGUCCCACUCACGUGAUGCCAUUGUCCAUGUGUUGAACCCAGCUGUCUUCUCCCAAGACCAUGGUCACUUUGGGAGACCUGUACCCGUCGCUGCAUAUUCCACUCAUCCUUGCCAGGCGUUUUGCCCCCAGAACUUUGGCUACAGCCUGCCACAGCUGCUUGUCUACAACAAAACGAGGAGGGGCCAAGAAACAGUUGUGCCCUAGCAGGACCAAGUCUCCAUGUCGCUGGAAGCUGCGAGGCAGAUCGAUUCUCAGCUCCUCCGUCCAUCUUUCUCCAUGAGAUUCCAACAGCUCAAGGAGGACUUCUUCUAGUUUAUUAACUCUCAUCUUGCCUUUCUCCUUCUUUUUCAGCAGAGAAGACUGUGGAAGAUGGAAGGACAAGUUACUAGCAGUGGAUAGCCAGUCUUCACAAUAAUGCCGUGACCUGUGAGGGUAUCAAACAAUGUUUACGUUGUCACUUUAAAGACACUCAACCCUAUUUUUUUUUUUUACAUUUGCUUGAAGCAUUUAAGUCCCAUCUUAAAACUCAUUUGUAUACUCAAGCCUUUAAAUAGACCCAUCUCUUAAACCAGUUGAUCUGCCGUCUCUUUUCUGCUCUGCCCCCCUCUCCUUCGUGGAGAGGGGGGCACAGAUUAGGUGACCACAGAUGAUGCACUAGCUGUUUAAAGUCGGGACCUAGGGUGGACCACUCAUUUGUGCAUCAGCUGGAGAAGUCUCUGCGCUGCUGACCUGUCUUCACUCAAGAUGAUCUCCUGCUGGCCCCACUAUGGACUGAACUCUCACACUAUUAACUAGAUCCACUAUGGACUGGACUCUCACACUAUUAACUAGAUCCACUAUGGACUGGACUCUCACACUAUUAACUAAAUCCACUAUGGACUGGACUCUCACACUAUUAUGUUAGAUCAACUAUGGACUGGACUCUCACUAUUAUGUUAGAUCCACUAUGGACUGGACUCUCACACUAUUAUGUUAGAUCCACUAUGGACUGGACUCUCACACUAUUAUGUUAGAUCCACUAUGGACUGGACUUUCACACUAUUAUGUUAGAUCCACUAUGGACUGGACUCUCACACUAUUAUGUUAGAUCCACUAUGGACUGGACUCUCACUAUUAUGUUAGAUCCACUAUGGACUGGACUCUCACACUAUUAUGUUAGAUCAACUAUGGACUGGACUCUCACUAUUAUGUUAGAUCCACUAUGGACUGGACUCUCACACUAUUAUGUUAGAUCAACUAUGGACUGGACUCUCACUAUUAUGUUAGAUCCACUAUGGACUGGACUCUCACACUAUUAUGUUAGAUCCACUAUGGACUGGACUCUCACACUAUUAUGUUAGAUCCACUAUGGACUGGACUCUCACACUAUUAAACUAGUUCCACUCGUUCCUGCGGUCCCUCCAAGGUUUCUCAUUGUAGCCCAUUGGGUUGAGUUUUUCCUUGCACUGAUGUGGGAUCUGAGCCGAGGAUCUUGUUGUGGCUUGUGCAGUCCUUUGAGACACUGGGGAUUUAGAGCUAUAUAAAUAAACCUUGAUUAAUUGGAA